GACGAACGCUGGCGGCGUGCUUAACACAUGCAAGUCGAACGGAAAGGCCCUGCUUUUGUGGGGUGCUCGAGUGGCGAACGGGUGAGUAACACGUGAGUAACCUGCCCUUGACUUUGGGAUAACUUCAGGAAACUGGGGCUAAUACCGGAUAGGAGCUCCUGCUGCAUGGUGGUGGUUGGAAAGUUUCGGCGGUUGGGGAUGGACUCGCGGCUUAUCAGCUUGUUGGUGGGGUAGUGGCUUACCAAGGCUUUGACGGGUAGCCGGCCUGGGAGGGUGACCGGCGACAAUGGGCCUACGGUACGGACCAGACGCGUAUGGGAGGCAGCAGGGGGGAGUAUGGCACAACGGGCGGAAGUCUGAUACGGCAGCGCCGGGAGCGGGAUGACGGCCUUCGGGUUGUAAACCGCUUUCGCCUGUGACGAAGCGUGAGUGACGGUAAUGGGUAAAGAAGCACCGGCUAACUACGUG
rnacentral:rRNA from 1 species